rnacentral:rRNA from 1 species
UACGAAGGGGGCUAGCGUUGCUCGGAAUCACUGGGCGUAAAGCGCACGUAGGCGGAUUGUUAAGUCAGGGGUGAAAUCCUGGAGCUCAACUCCAGAACUGCCUUUGAUACUGGCGAUCUCGAGUCCGGGAGAGGUGAGUGGAACUGCGAGUGUAGAGGUGAAAUUCGUAGAUAUUGGGAGGAACACCAGUGGCGAAGGCGGCUCACUGGACCGGUACUGACGCUGAUGCGCGAAAGCGUGGGAGCAAACAGG